GUAAAAUUGUAAAAUGACAGGCAAACAUUUAAAAUGAUUGAACCCAAGUCAUCAAAUUACAAUUAAAUUUAACCUAGCAGGCGAAAUAGACUAACCACAAUGACCUGGACUGAAAUUCUGCACUGGGAGAUGCACCCAUCUUGCCAUUGAAAUCUCACAGCCAUUUCCAAGGGACUGGAGAGCAUGGUGGUGUAUACGAAGACCCUUUUUUAAAAAUAUUUUAGCACAUAUAAGUAUCAGUGUGCUGUUGUGGAUUCUGUAAAGCGAGAACCUCCCUGACACCAAUUCAGCAAAGUAUACCAGAACUAAGACAUGAAAGGAACUGUGAGAUUACAUGAAAAGGAGCAUUAUGUUUAUCUCCAUGAAACAAAGAAGCCACAUAUUAGAAUUGCUCCUAAAUGAUAUAAAAUGAGAACCUCUUCUGAUAUGGUUCGGUCAUCGAAUGAAGCACUGCAUCGGUGUCCCAUCACUUCUGCAAGGGAAAUUGAUCACUCCUUUGUGAAAGGAUUGGUGUGAGUGUGAAUGGGUUGCCUUGUAGCUGAAUAAAAGUGACAUGCAUAGUGUUUAAACACAGAUCUGGUGUCACUGGUAUCUUCUUCAGAGCCUGUAGUCUCAAAGGAACAGAUUAUUCAGUUUCCACUCUUCUCCAAAGAAACAACACAACCUGUGUAUUUGUAACAUCUCCAUCUUGCUUGAUUCAUCGCUGCCAGCUCCCUAGUGAACCAAGGAGCUGGAUAGGCUCUGCUAAACGCGAUGGACCUCAUCCAGGGAAGGGAAGGAAGAAAAGACAAAAAGCAAGAAAGGAGAGAGGGAAGGGGGAGGAAAGAGGGAAAGAAGGAUGGUGAGAGAGGGGGGGGCUGAGAAAGGAGCCCAAGGGGCUGUAUCCGUCCCCUGGGCCUGGGUUUGCCCAUACUUGUUUUAGAGCAUAUAACUAUAUUUCUCUAAUGCCACCCUGCGAUUGGAGACAGGCUUCGUCAAAGUGGAGGCCAGAGUAUGGACCUCCAUUCUCGACUACUGGCUAUGCCUAUCCUUCUCCCCAUGUGGUCUUGCCCCUCUAACCAUGAAGGAUGACUUCCAGUCCACAUUGACUAAAACAGUGGCAGUAAAGAUCACAACACUAGGCUUCUCCCAAGGACAAUUGCUAAGCAUGAGAUUGGACUAAGCCAAGGAUCUCAUUAAACAACGGAUCUUGGACAUAGAGCACCAAUUGGACUUAACCUGCACCCCAGCCUUUAGUGUUCAUGAAGCUAACAGAUACCUCACCACCCCCACAGUGUACCUAACAAACCUGGAGGUGCCGAAACACCAAAGAGCUUUCACCCUGGCAAGAUGCCAUGCCCUCCCAUCGGCUGUAUUGGAGGGGAGAUAUUGAAAGACCCCCUUCAAGGAGAGAUUAUGCCCAUGUGAGUCCGGACACACAGAAACAACCAAACAUGUGCUCCUUUAAUGCAUGCUCUAUAGAGACAUUGGAACUGGUCUCAUCAUUCCAUGGCUUCUUAAAUACCCAAGGUUCACCAGAAAAUUUUAUACUGCCCUGCUGCUCUCAGACUCUAGUACUACAAUAACUUAGUGUUGCUAGGUUCUGUACUGCAGCACUUAAAAUUCGAAGGACUAUGAUCGGCCCCGCAGGGCGACACCCUGACGGAAGAGCAGCUACAGCAAGCUCUUGCAGCUGAGGUUUUGCUGGACUUAUAAUGUGCCCCUCCCUCUCCCCCUAGUGCCCCUUUAGUGUUUUGACCCUCUUAUCAGACUUUCCCCCUCCUUUAAUCCCAUAACUGCUUUGUUAAACAUGCCUUUAAACAGUACUGUUGUUUUUUUUGUUUUAAAAAAUCUGUUUUCUAAUCUCUUUUAUGAUUGCCUCCCUGGGAAACUGUGCCCCUCUCUGUGCUGAUCGUGGACCGUAAUAAAUUCUUGAUUUACUAUAACUAAAUUUGUGUUGUUUUUGUUAAUGUAUUAAAUGGAAUUAUAUGUGUAAUACCACUCAAUAAAGAAGACCAGCUCUCAUAGUAGCUUUUUAAAACAAGUCAAGGAAAACACCAUCUAUCCGCUGGUGGAGCUUUGUCUCAUAUUCAUGCAGUAGUGUCAUUAAUACUAUAGGGAUUUCAUCUGGUUCCCAAGAACCAAUGGCUCAAGAAAUCAUAUUCAUUUUCUCACUCUCAACACACUGUGUUAUCUAAAUUAAGGAUAGUAAGACUUCACAGAAUGCUAGAUCUCAUGCGCUAUAUACUCAUUACAUUCAAGCAUGGUUUGUCAGUGAAGAAAAUCAAUUCUAGAACAGGAGAGAAGUGGGCAUUUAAACUGACUAAAGGACUAAUUAACACAGUGAUAGUUGAGGAAAUCAUUAACAGAGGUGAUAGUGACCUUCAGUAGCCUUGAGCAGAAGCUUUUACACAGCUCUAAAGAAGUCUGCAUUCCCAAGGAGUCUUAAAGGUAUGAGUCAUAGUCUGCCUGCCAGUAAUAGAUUUUUAACUAGUACAACUGGAAACAUUGGUCUUCUGAACUUGAUUUGCAAUUAAAUAUUUAAUAGUAUUUCAGUUCAGUAAAGGGAAAUAAAAUUAAGAGGGGAGUGAGCACCAUUAAAAAAUACAACACUGAGGGGAAAUGUAGUUCACAUAUAACUGGACCAGAUAACAGGGUUGAAAGGAAAAAACUACUGAAAGAAAUGCCCAAUACUGAUCAGAAAACAUGUUAUAUAAUUCUAUAUACAAUUCAUUUCUUAAAAGCCUUUUUCAGUUAAGUGGCGUACUUGGCUGACCAUUGGCCAUUCAAAUUAGUUGGGUAAAAAUAAUCAUGUAGAUCUGUUUCAGCUUCAUUCAGAUCUUUUCAAGAGCCAGGAGAAUGCAGCAUUGAUAUUACUAUAGAAUAAGGGUACCAAAGGCAAUGCUAAACUUCAAACUCUUUUGUAUCUGAAAUUAUGCUCUUCCUGUGAUCUGUCACAUUUCUGUGUUCUGAAAUGAUGUUCUCCUGUCCUUCUUUCUGAACAAAAGCUGUUAUGAACAGUUGAUUGUUCUUAGCAGCUGUCCAACAUUUAUGAAACAUUCUUUCUUGCCCUGGUGACUCACUGACUUUCAAGCUUGAAGAUUCUCAACUAAGAAAAAGUUGAAAAAUUUGGACAUAUAUAUAUUAUAUAUACGUUUUUAAGGUUUUUAUAAUGUGUUUUAACCAUGUUAUUAACAGAUCUGUUUAUAUUGUUUUGUUUUUAUGAUUGCAAUUUGGGCAUUAAAUUUUGCCAAUUUUUGUAAGCCGCUCUGAGUCCCCUCGGGUGAGA